GGGGAAUCUUCCGCAAUGGACGAAAGUCUGACGGAGCAACGCCGCGUGAGUGAUGACGGCCUUCGGGUUGUAAAGCUCUGUUAAUCGGGACGAAAGGUCUUCUUGCGAAUAGUUAGAAGAAUUGACGGUACCGGAAUAGAAAGCCACGGCUAACUACGUGCCAGCAGCCGCGGUAAUACGUAGGUGGCAAGCGUUGUCCGGAAUUAUUGGGCGUAAAGCGCGCGCAGGCGGAUUGGUCAGUCUGUCUUAAAAGUUCGGGGCUUAACCCCGUGAUGGGAUGGAAACUGCCAAUCUAGAGUAUCGGAGAGGAAAGUGGAAUUCCUAGUGUAGCGGUGAAAUGCGUAGAUAUUAGGAAGAACACCAGUGGCGAAGGCAACUUUCUGGACGAAAACUGACGCUGAGGCGCGAAAGCCAGGGGAGCGAACGGGAUUAGAUACCCCGGUAGUCCUGGCCGUAAACGAUGGGUACUAGGUGUAGGAGGUAUCGACCCCUUCUGUGCCGGAGUUAACGCAAUAAGUACCCCGCCUGGGGAGUACGACCGCAAGGUUG
rnacentral:rRNA from 1 species